UACAGAGGGUGCAAGCGUUGUUCGGAAUUACUGGGCGUAAAGCGCGUGUAGGCGGCUAAGUAAGUCGGGCGUGAAAUCCCACGGCUCAACCGUGGAAGUGCACUCGAAACUGCAUAGCUAGAGUCCUGGAGAGGAAGGUGGAAUGCUUGGUGUAGAGGUGAAAUUCGUAGAUAUCAAGCGGAACACCGGUGGCGAAGGCGGCCUUCUGGACAGUGACUGACGCUGAGACGCGAAAGCGUGGGGAGCAAACAGG
rnacentral:rRNA from 1 species